GACGAACGCGGCGGCGUGCUUAACACAUGCAAGUCGAACGGAAAGGCCCUGCUUUUGUGGGGUGCUCGAGUGGCGAACGGGUGAGUAACACGUGAGUAACCUGCCCUUGACUUUGGGAUAACUUCAGGAAACUGGGGCUAAUACCGGAUAGGAGCUCCUGCUGCAUGGUGGGGGUUGGAAAGUUUCGGCGGUUGGGGAUGGACUCGCGGCUUAUCAGCUUGUUGGUGGGGUAGUGGCUUACCAAGGCUUUGACGGGUAGCCGGCCUGAGAGGGUGACCGGCCACAUUGGGACUGAGAUACGGCCCAGACUCCUACGGGAGGCAGCAGUGGGGAAUAUUGCACAAUGGGCGGAAGCCUGAUGCAGCAACGCCGCGUGCGGGAUGACGGCCUUCGGGUUGUAAACCGCUUUCGCCUGUGACGAAGCGGA
rnacentral:rRNA from 1 species